GCUCACUUCGGCAGUGCAUAUAUUAAAGGUGGAACAUCACAGAGAAGAUGAGCAUCACCCCUGUGCAAGGAUGGCAUGCAAAUUCAUGAAGUAUUCCAUGUUUUU